rnacentral:rRNA from 1 species
AACGAACGCUGGCGGCGCGUCUAAUACAUGCAAGUCGAGCGAGAAGACGUAGCAAUACGUUUGUAAAGCGGCGAACGGGUGAGGAAUACAUGGGUAACCUACCCUCGAGUGGGGAAUAACUAGCCGAAAGGUUAGCUAAUACCGCGUACGCUCCUUGGACUUCGGUUCAGGGAGGAAAGCGAUACCGUGGGUAUCGCGCUCUUGGAUGGGCUCAUGUCCUAUCAGCUUGUUGGUGAGGUAACGGCUCACCAAGGCUUCGACGGGUAGCUGGUCUGAGAGGACGAUCAGCCACACUGGCACUGCGACAUGGGCCAGACUCCUACGGGAGGCAGCAGUAAGGAAUAUUGCGCAAUGGGCGAAAGCCUGACGCAGCGACGCCGC